GCUAGUAAUCGCGAAUCAGAAUGUCGCGGUGAAUACGUUCCCGGGUCUUGUACACACCGCCCGUCACACCAUGGGAGUCAGCAACGCCCGAAGUCAGUGACCUAACCGAAAGGGAGGAGCUGCCGAAGGCGGGGCCAGUAACUGGGGUGAAGUCGUAACAAGGUAUC
rnacentral:rRNA from 1 species